rnacentral:rRNA from 1 species
GGACGAAUGCUGGCGGCGUGCCUACUCCAUGCAAGUUGAGCGAUGAAGAUUGGUGCUUGCACCAAUUUGAAGAGCAGCGAACGGGUGAGUAACGCGUGGGGAAUCUGCCUUUGAGCGGGGGACAACAUUUGGAAACGAAUGCUAAUACCGCAUAACAACUUUAAACAUAAGUUUUAAGUUUGAAAGAUGCAAUUGCAUCACUCAAAGAUGAUCCCGCGUUGUAUUAGCUAGUUGGUGAGGUAAAGGCUCACCAAGGCGAUGAUACAUAGCCGACCUGAGAGGGUGAUCGGCCACAUUGGGACUGAGACACGGCCCAAACUCCUACGGGAGGCAGCAGUAGGGAAUCUUCGGCAAUGGACGAAAGUCUGACCGAGCAACGCCGCGUGAGUGAAGAAGGUUUUCGGAUCGUAAAACUCUGUUGGUAGAGAAGAACGUUGGUGAGAGUGGAAAGCUCAUCAAGUGACGGUAACUACCCAGAAAGGGACGGCUAACUACGUG